UACGGAGGGUGCGAGCGUUGUCCGGAAUCACUGGGCGUAAAGGGCGCGUAGGCGGCGCGAGCAGUCGAUCGUGAAAGUCCGGAGCUCAACUCCGGAUCGGCGGUCGAUACUCUCGUGCUUGAGCACUGUAGAGGCAGAUGGAAUUCCGGGUGUAGCGGUGGAAUGCGUAGAGAUCCGGAAGAACACCGGUGGCGAAGGCGGUCUGCUGGGCAGUAGCUGACGCUGAUGCGCGGCAGCGUGGGGAGCAAACAGG
rnacentral:rRNA from 1 species